rnacentral:rRNA from 1 species
CCUACGGGUUGCAGCAGUGGGGAAUAUUGGACAAUGGGCGCAAGCCUGAUCCAGCCAUGCCGCGUGAGUGAAGAAGGCCUUAGGGUUGUAAAGCUCUUUCACCGGUGAAGAUAAUGACGGUAACCGGAGAAGAAGCCCCGGCUAACUUCGUGCCAGCAGCCGCGGUAAUACGAAGGGGGCUAGCGUUGCUCGGAAUGACUGGGCGUAAAGGGCGCGUAGGCGGUUUAUGCAGUCAGAUGUGAAAUCCCCGGGCUUAACCUGGGAACUGCAUUUGAGACGCAUAGACUAGAGGUCGAGAGAGGGUUGUGGAAUUCCCAGUGUAGAGGUGAAAUUCGUAGAUAUUGGGAAGAACACCGGUGGCGAAGGCGGCAACCUGGCUCGAUACUGACGCUGAGGCGCGAAAGCGUGGGGAGCAAACAGGAUUAGAUACCCCAGUAGUC